GCGAGAAAACUUUGCAAUGUGCGAAAGCACGACAAGGUUAAUCCGAGUGGUUUCUGCUAAAGAAACCUUUUGUCAGUCCUAGAAACACUAACGAAUAAGGGGUGGGCAAGUUCUGGUGUCAGCCGCCGCGGUAAAACCAGCACCUCAAGUGGUCAGGAUGAUUAUUGGGCCUAAAGCAUCCGUAGCCCGUUUUGUAAGUUUUCGGUUAAAUCCAUGCGCUUAACGUAUGGGCUGCCGGGAAUACUGCAUAACUAGGAAGUGGGAGAGGUAGACGGUACUCGGUAGGAAGGGGUAAAAUCCUUUGAUCUAUUGAUGACCACCUGUGGCGAAGGCGGUCUACCAGAACACGUUCGACGGUGAGGGAUGAAAGCUGGGGGAGCAAACCGGAUUAGAUACCCGCGUAGUCCCUGAGCGGGCUGGCAAGGCGCAU
rnacentral:rRNA from 1 species